GGAAUAGCCUCGGGAAACUGAGAGUAAUACCGUAUAAGCCCUUCGGGGGAAAGAUUUAUCGGGAAAGGAUUGGCCCGCGUUAGAUUAGAUAGUUGGUGGGGUAAUGGCCUACCAAGUCUACGAUCUAUAGCUGGUUUUAGAGGAUGAUCAGCAACACUGGGACUGAGACACGGCCCAGACUCCUACGGGAGGCAGCAGUGGGGAAUCUUAGACAAUGGGCGAAAGCCUGAUCUAGCCAUGCCGCGUGAGUGAUGAAGGUCUUAGGAUCGUAAAGCUCUUUCGCUAGGGAUGAUAAUGACAGUACCUAGUAAAGAAGCCCCGGCUAACUCCGUGCCAGCAGCCGCGGUAAUACGGAGGGGGCUAGCGUUGUUCGGAAUUACUGGGCGUAAAGCGUACGUAGGCGGAUCAGAAAGUAUGGGGUGAAAUCCCAGGGCUCAACCCUGGAACUGCCUCAUAAACUCCUGGUCUUGAGUUCGAGAGAGGUGAGUGGAAUUGCGAGUGUAGAGGUGAAAUUCGUAGAUAUUCGCAGGAACACCAGUGGCGAAGGCGGCUCACUGGCUCGAUACUGACGCUGAGGUACGAAAGUGUGGGGAGCAAACAGGAUUAGAUACCCUGGUAGUCCACACCGUAAACGAUGAAUGCCAGACGUCGGGCAGUAUACUGUUCGGUGUCACACCUAACGGAUUAAGCAUCC
rnacentral:rRNA from 1 species